AGCAGCCGCGGUAAUUCCAGCUCCAAUAGCGUAUAUUAAAGUUGUUGCAGUUAAAAAGCUCGUAGUUGAAUUUCGGGGUCUGUCCAUUGGUCGGGCUUCACGGUCCGUACUGGUGUGAUGGGUUCCUACCUUCUGAAUAACCAGCAUGCCAUUUAGUUGGUGCGCCGGGGAAGCAGAGCUAUUACCUUGAAAAAAUUAGAGUGCUUAAAGCAGGCUAGUGCUUGAAUAGAUUAGCAUGGAAUAAUAAAAUAGGACGGCAUGGUUCUAUUUUGUUGGUUUCUAGGAUCACCGUAAUGAUUAAUAGGGAUAGUUGGGGGCAUUAGUAUUCAAUUGUCAGAGGUGAAAUUCUUGGAUUUAUUGAAGACUAACUUCUGCGAAAGCAUUUGCCAAGGAUGUUUUCAUUAAUCAAGAACGAAAGUUAGGGGAUCGAAGACGAUCAGAUACCGUCGUAGUCUUAACCAUAAACUAUGCCGACUAGGGAUCGGAUGAUGUAAUUUUUAAUGACUCGUUCGGCGUCCG
rnacentral:rRNA from 1 species